AGUGAACGCUGGCGGUAGGCCUAACACAUGCAAGUCGAACGGCAGCACAGGAGAGCUUGCUCUCUGGGUGGCGAGUGGCGGACGGGUGAGGAAUACAUCGGAAUCUACUCUGUCGUGGGGGAUAACGUAGGGAAACUUACGCUAAUACCGCAUACGACCUACGGGUGAAAGCAGGGGACCUUCGGGCCUUGCGCGAUUGAAUGAGCCGAUGUCGGAUUAGCUAGUUGGCGGGGUAAAGGCCCACCAAGGCGACGAUCCGUAGCUGGUCUGAGAGGGUGAUCAGCCACACUGGAACUGAGACACGGUCCAGACUCCUACGGGAGGCAGCAGUGGGGAAUAUUGGACUAUGGGCGCAAGCCUGAUCCAGCCAUACCGCGUGGGUGAAGAAGGCCUUCGGGUUGUAAAGCCCUUUUGUUGGGAAAGAAAUCCAGCUGGCUAAUACCCGGUUGGGAUGACGGUACCCAAAGAAUAAGCACCGGCUAACUUCGUGCCAGCCGCCGCAGUAA
rnacentral:rRNA from 1 species